rnacentral:rRNA from 1 species
UACGGGGGGGAGCAAGCGUUGUUCGGAUUUACUGGGCGUAAAGGGCGCGUAGGCGGUCGUGACAAGUCACUUGUGAAAUCUCCGGGCUUAACUCGGAACGGUCAAGUGAUACUGUCGGACUAGAGUACAGAAGGGGCAACUGGAAUUCUCGGUGUAGCGGUGAAAUGCGUAGAUAUCGAGAGGAACACCAGUGGCGCAAGCGGCUGACUGGCCGAGACCUGACGCUGAGACACGACGGCGUGGGGAGCAAACCGG